CGUGGCCAUUAUAUUAGUUUUGGUUAUUGAAACCGCAUGUAUCCAACCCAGAUACAUGGGAGAUAUAUUUGACAACACUGCUUGAAUAUGAAGCCGGACGCAUCGCGGUUGCGCGCCUUUAGUUAUUUUACUUGCCAACCGUUGUUUGUUGUGCCUGUCGUCUGUCAGUUCUUGGAAACUGUAAACAUUCGUUGCUCUUAACACGUGCGCAUGAUUACUUUAGUACUUUAAUUGCAGUAGUUUUAUUAUCAUCGCCGAUAGUGGUUUGCUGUGUGUUAUUUUUCAAAAUAACGUACGAAGAAGAACAAGCUAAAUUAGAGAAAAUGAUGCAGGAAAUUCUCUCUGAACAUGAAGAUUCUGUAUUCGGUGACGUUUAUUUGUCAGACGAGUAUCAACCCGAAAGCGGAAACUUAAGCAGUGACUCAUCUACUUUAUCUAUUACACCUAAGCGACGUAAAAAAAUGCAAUCCCUCAACAACCAAUUUAUGUCCUCAACCCAGUACAAGCAAAGGUGUAGCCACUAAUGUGGGUUUGGAAACUCAGCAAUCCAGUCCAGAUCGUACACGUACCUUGAUGUCUUCAGAUGACGAAGCAACCUCCAAUUUUCCCACGCAUGAUAAUGCUACCAGCCAGAUUUUACAAACGAUAGAGGAUGUGAUAAGAAACUUUCGAUUACACACCACGUCAUAUUCAGAAGACGAUGAAGAUAUUAAAGCUUCUGAUAACCAACCAGCCUGGAAUCCAGUUACAGGUAUGAAUUUGAAAAAAAUUUCGUUUAUGGAGAAUGAUCCUCGCGUAAAACUGGAAUUUCAUGACCAGUUUUUUGAUAAAAAUCCAUAUAAUUUUGAUAAACUUAUGGUACCUGCCUAAGUUAUAAAUCAUAUAGUCAUUGAAACAAAUCCUUAUGCAGCACAAUCUAAAAACAAAAAUAUUAAACGAAAGUCCAGAAUACAGAAAUGGGCGGACACCAAUUCGGAAGAAAUUGAAAGGUUCAUUGGUAUAAUUAUGUGGAUGGGACUAUUUCAGCUGCCAAGUAUCCAAGCAUAUUGGCAGACAUCUUUUUUGUACUUCAAUAAAGUAGCAGAAACAGAUUCCAGCUGCUGCUAAAAAUGCCUCAUUUUAACGAUAAUGAAGGUGUUGUUCAAAAUCGUCUUCAUAAAAUAGACCCACUUCUCAAAAAACCCAUAACCAGUUUUCAAGCACCUAUUAUACCUGAUAAUGAGGUAUGUAUUAACGAGGCUCUCGUCCCCUUUAGAGGACGUCUCUCAUUCCGACAGUACAUAAAAAACAAGAAAAUUGUGUGUCUCCAAGGGAUAUACCUAUAACCUCAGUGUAUAUUGUGGUGCUGAAAAAAAAAGGGUAUGCCUGUGUCUACUGCAGUUAUAAUGUCUCUUAUGAAUAACUUACUUGAUAAAGGACGAACUCUAUAUACAGACAGUUACUACACCGGUGUCGGGUUAGUUUAUUGUCUGACAAAACGAAAAACUCACUUAGUUGGAACGCUGCGUGCAAACCGAAAACUCAGUAAAAAACUUCCAAAGAACGAAGUUGUUGCAGCCGAAAGUGACACUGGUGUAGUAGUUCUGAAAUGGAAAGAUAAACGUGACGUCUUGGUUCUGAGUAUUAAAUAUAUAGACAAACAAGUAACUGUUAGACAAAAAUGUGGCGAAGUUCAAAAACCUGAAAUUAUAGCCGACUAUAAUAAAUGUAAGGCGUUUAUUGACCUAUCUGACCAGAUGAAGUCAUAUGGAACAUCAUUGAGGCGAGGAGUAAAGUGGUACAGAAAAUUAGCUAUAGAGUUACUAGCGGGAACUGCAGUCGUAAAUGCCUACAUUUUGCACCAAGAAGUUGCCAACGAAAAUAAUCAGGUGAAACAUAUUUUGGUAGAAAGUCAUGGUGCUGAACGAAAAAGAGGUCGAUGUGUCCACUGUUACAAAAAAAAAUCUGAAAAGGUUGGGAGUAAAUUAGCGGCUAAACAAGCGACUCAAAGUAAAUUUAGGUGUCAAGUUUGUAAGAAAUUUUAUUGUUUAUCUUGUUUUUUUUGAAACUCACACUUGCCUUAAGUGAAUAAGCCACAUUUUCUGUGUUAACUUGUUUUGUUUUAUUACGUUUAAUUUCAUGUUUUAGUUUAAUUCAUAUUUAUUAAAUUUAUGUGAAUAAACCACAUUUUUCUAUGUA